rnacentral:tRNA from 1 species
GCAGAUGUAACCAUGUGGAUCAAGGUAGUGGAUUGUGAAUCCACCACAUAUGGGUUCAAUCCCCAUUGUUCACC